rnacentral:lncRNA from 1 species
AGGUAUUUACACCAAUCUGUUAUUCGAAUUAUUCGAAUUGUGAAAUUCAACUCGAUUCGAACUUGAAACUCGAAUCGAGUUAUUUGAGUUGGCUCGAAUAGUUCAAAUAACUCGAAUAACUUGAUUCGAUUAACUCAAAAUUCGAAAAAAAAUUCGAAUCAAAUUAAGUUUUACUCACCCCUAAUGAUCAGUUUGUUAUUGAGGAGGGAUUGACUACUAAAG